rnacentral:rRNA from 1 species
GAUGAACGCUGGCGGCGUGCCUAAUACAUGCAAGUCGAGCGAACGGACGAGAAGCUUGCUUCUCUGAUGUUAGCGGCGGACGGGUGAGUAACACGUGGAUAACCUACCUAUAAGACUGGGAUAACUUCGGGAAACCGUAGCUAAUACCGGAUAAUAUAUUGAACCGCAUGGUUCAAAAGUGAAAGACGGUCUUGCUGUCACUUAUAGAUGGAUCCGCGCUGCAUUAGCUAGUUGGUAAGGUAACGGCUUACCAAGGCAACGAUGCAUAGCCGACCUGAGAGGGUGAUCGGCCACACUGGAACUGAGACACGGUCCAGACUCCUACGGGAGGCAGCAGUAGGGAAUCUUCCGCAAAGGGCGAAAGCCUGACGGAGCAACGCCGCGUGAGUGAUGAAGGUCUUCGGAUCGUAAAACUCUGUUAUUAGGGAAGAACAUAUGUGUAAGUAACUAUGCACAUCUUGACGGUACCUAAUCAGAAAGCCACGGCUAACUACGUG